AGCACUUUCUUCAAGUUCUGACUGCAAAAAACUGUAACAGGAGCUGCUGCCGGGCAGAAGAAAAGCAGGGCAGGCUGGCUCCCAGGCCUCAGGGUGGGGAUGGCAGUGGGAAUGAAGCACCUGUAACUGGGCCCUUCCUGCCCUAAUGUUCAGGGGGCCCUACCCCUCGUGAGCUUGUCUUAUUAAGAACCCUCAAAAGGCCUAAGUUAACCAGCAGGUCCAAAGGUCCCAAGGAACAAGGUCAGAGACGCCAGGGAAAAGAGGAAAGCUGACUUGGAAACACGGGGAGGUGGCAGGGAGGGGCAAAAAGGACUCUGGCAAGCAGAUCCACUUGUCUGGGUCCCUGCAGUGAAGAACCCAAGAUCCAGGUACCUCAGCCUGGAAGAAACCGUGCACUGCAGGUCUUCCCUUCUAUCAAAACUAAAAGCAAGGAACAGAAGUCAAUUGAAACCCCAGGUCAUCCUACCCACCUUCUGGCAGUCUCUGGAUAAUGAUCUAAGGAAAUAAGCUUACAUUUAUAAUUAGAGGAUAAUUUGGAGAAUUUAUACUAUUUACACGGACCACCCUGCAAAGAUCAGGGAAGGCUGGAUUUCUUCCUCCUUGAUAGUCUGAACUGGAAGCAAAGGAGAAAACCCUUCUCCAAACAGGAGUUUCUCCUCUUUCCCUGGUCCUGCAGAAGAAAGAGGAGCUAUCCCCUCCUCAGCUAGCAGCACCUGAAAGGGAAACAGAGAUAAGGUGAACCAACGGUCACCAGACAGGACGCACAAAAAUAUCACAUACGGGUUCUGAUCCUCUUUGUGUCGUUUUGAAGUCUUAAAAUCUAUUAAAUAUGAGAAUACGAUGU
rnacentral:lncRNA from 1 species